AUGUGUGUGUCCGAGAGAGGACGGAAGAGCUCACAUCAGUUCAGCUUCAACAUCAACAUGUUCUCUGCAGCUCUGAUACUGCUGCUGGCAGCUGGAUCCUGUGUGAACAGUAUUGAUCUCAUCCAGCCAGACUCAAUGGUUGUGCAGCCUGGACAGUCUUUGACCCUCACCUGUCAGGUCUCUGGUUAUUCUCUGACUGAUGACAGCUAUGCAACAGGUUGGAUCAGACAGUGUGAAGGAAAACCCAUGGACUGGAUUUCACAUAUGUGGGGUACAAGUGGCAUUCGUCAAAAUAGUGCUCUGAAGAACAAGUUCAGCUACAGCAGAGACACUUCUGCAGGAACCGUCACUCUAACAGGACAGAGCGUGCAGCCUGCGGACACAGCUGUGUAUUACUGUCAAAGAUCAGUGUAG